rnacentral:lncRNA from 1 species
UUGGGGGGUGGGGGCCUAGGGGAGGGAUAGUAUUAGGAGGAAUACCUAAUGUAGACGACAAGUUGAUGGCGGCAGCAAACCGUCAUGGAACGUGUAUACCUACGUAACAAACCUGCAAGUGAUCUCUUAUGGUUAUCGCAUGUUCUUCGUCUUUAGUGCAAUAUUGUAAACCUUGAAUAACACCAUAGGUAGGAACCAUAUAAAGUGCUACUAGUGAUGUUGGAAUUUCUUCCAAGAAGCAGAGAAAAGUCAUGACAUUACAAGAAAAAUAUGAAUUGCUUGAUGUGUACCAUAGACUGAGGUCUGCAUCUGUAGUUGCCCACCAUUUCAAGAUAAAUGAAUCCAGCAUCAGGACCAUUGUUAAAAAGAAAAGGAAAUUUGUGAAGCCAUUGCUGCAGCUACGCUAGCGGGCACAAAAAUCUUUUUGUGAAAUACAUUUUUAUUUCCUAUUGAAAAUGCAGCUUUUAUGUGGGUACAGGAUUGCUAUCAAAAAGGCUACAGACUCUCAUAUGAUUUGAAAAACAGGGAAGUUAUUAAAUGACAACAUAGAGCAAAGGGAAAGUGAAGGGUCUAAAGCUGGAUAAUUCAAUGCCAGCAUAAGAUGCUUUGAUAAUUUUAGAGGUUUGACUUAAAAAAAAAAAAAAAGUCAAGAUAAUAGAAGAAACAGCUUCUGCUGACCAAGAGGCACCAGCCAAGUUCCCAGGUGCCAAUAAAAAAAUCAUGGAGAAGAAAGGAUAUCUUCUCAAACAGGUUUUAAAUACAAACAGAAGUACCCUCAUCUGGAAAAAAAAAAUGCCACAAACGAAAUAAUCUGCACACCAAACCCCUAUGACACACAAAAUACCUAUAUAACAAACCUGCACACAAGUACCCUUGAACCUAAAAGUUAAAAAAAAAAGAGCCACAAAAGACAUCAAUUAGUAAGAGAAGUGAGCAUGAUUUAAGGCAGGAAGGGAUAGGUUAACUCUACUGUUUUGUGCAAAUGCAAUUAGAUUUAUGAUCAGGACUGCCCUUAUCUAUAAGGCUGCUAACCCCUGAGCCUGGAAGGGAAAAGAUAAAUACGAGUUGCCAGUCUUCUGGUUUACAACAAAAAGGCUUGGACAAGACCCCUUUGUCUGGAUUGGUUCCAUCAAUGCUUUGUCUCUAAGGUCAAGAAGUAUCUUGCAAAUAAGGAACUGUCUUUUAUAGUUCUUUUGAUAUUAGACAAUGCCCAGGUCACCCAGAAACCCAAGAGUUCAACAUUGAAGGUAUCAAAGUGGUCUGCUUUCCCCCAAACAGAAGGCUUCUAAUUCAGCCUCUAGGGUCAGGGGAUCAUGAAGACCUUUAAGGCUCAUUAUACAUGAUACUCUAUGGAAAAAAUUUUCAAAGCUAUGCAAGAGAACACUGAUAGAACAUCAUGAAAUUCUAGAAUGAUUACACCAUUGAAGACAAUAUCAUUGUUAUAGAAAAAGCUGUGAAAGCCAUCAAGCCUGAAACAAUAAAUUUGUGCUGAAAAAAACUGUGUCCAGAUAUCAUGCAUGAAUUCAUAAGAUUUACGACAGAGCCAAUCAAGGAAAUCAUGAAAGAGAUUGUGAAUGUGGCAAAAAAGGUGGGGCAGGUGGAGUGAAGGGUUUCAAGACAGGGAUCUUGGAGAAAUUCAAAAGCUAACAGACAUCACACCAGAGGAAUUAACAGAAGACAGCUUGAUGGAGAUGAAUGCUUCUGAGCCACAGUGCCAGACGAUGAGGAAGAUGGAGAAGCAUCAGUAUCAGAAAACACAUUGACAUUAGACAAUCUGGCAGAAGGGUUCUGAUCAUUCAAGGUUGCUUUUGACUUCUUUUAUAACAUGGACCUUUCUAUGAUACACACACUAAAACUAAAGCAAAUGGUAGAAGAUUGGUACUGUAUAGACAUAUUUUUAGAGAAACUGAGCCAGGAGAAUAGGGCCUGGAGGCAGGGAACUUAAGGCCAAUUCGCACUGACUUCCUAGACUGAAUCAAAAGGAAAACCCCAACUUUCCACGCCCAAGUAACAAAAGGAUCAGAGGCUCUCCCUUUGCAGCUCCUCUGCUUCUGUGUCACAGAUGAAAAAUGGCAAGUACUUCUGGUCCCCUCCUGCAACCAAUCAGACUGGUCACAAGCCUAGUCUUUGCGCAGGGUUACAACUUUGUAACUUCACUUCACCUUCCACAACCAAUCAGAUGUUUGCAUAGGGUGUAACUCUGUAACUUCACUUCAGCCUCUGAUUGGUCACCCAGCAACUAAUCAGACUGGCUGCAGACCACUACCUCAUUUAAAUAGGGUGUAAACCAAGUAACCAAUGGGAAACCUCUAGAGGGUAUUUAAACCCCAGAAAAUUCUCUAACCAGCACUCUUGAGCCACUUGCUUGAGCCUGCUCCCACUCUGUGAAGUGUACUUUCAUUUCAACAAAUCUGUGCUUUUGUUGCUUCAUCCUUUCAUUGAUUUGCACGUUUUAUCCAAUUCUUUGUCAAACAACUCAGAGUCAAGACCCUCCACUGGUAACAAAAUGAGUAAGUAAGAAAGUCAGACAGAAAUUACAAUGUAUUUCCAUAAAGUUACAAUGAGUAUGCCUUCUUCUUCUAUACCUCUUCCACCUGUGCCAACCCCUCUGCUUCCUCCUCCUCAACCUACUCAACCUGAAGACAAUGAGGAUGAAGUCUUUAAUGAUGAUCCACUUCCAUUUAAAGAACAGAAAAUCCAUAGGACCAUAAUUUGCAAUGGCUUUAGAUUUUGCUACUACAGAAAAUUCAAUACAAUUUGUAGCUGACACUAUUGUUUCUUUGGACACUGCCACCAUAUGCAUGAAAGAAAUUUCUCAAGGGAACAGAACACAUGAUGUUUGCAGGAGGAGCUAAUGGUUAGUUUGCAGGCAUCCCAAACAGUGGACGACAUGCUGGGCUUAGGUCUCCUCUUUGCCUUAUUUAGGCAAACACCUAGCUGUAACCCAUCAAGUUAUUCCUGUACUCUACACACCAAAACCUAACUCAGGAGUGUAUUUUUAUAACAAAUAGCCAAGUCUGGCCAAUCACAAACAGCCAAGCCUCAGCCCAUCGGACAAGGCAGCCUUAGAUCUCCUUAGAUCAGACCAUACCUAUGGGACAUCAGGCAGCCUUAGGUCUCCUCUUUGCCUUAUUUAGGCAAACACCUAGCUGUAACCCAUCAAGUUAUUCCUGUACUCUACUUCUGUGUUCAGCUGAUAAAAGCACACUUUCCUUGCUGUAGAGCGGAGGUCUCUGAACCCCUUUCAGUUUACAAUGCUACCUAACUCAUUAAUCAUUCUUUGCCCAAAGAAACUCUGUCAAAUUUAACUUGUCUAAAGUUU